UUCCAGAUGCUGUGAUAUUCAAACCCAAGCAUGGGGUAUCUGAAGCAUUCCCAAAUUCUUUUUCUAUGCCUGCUUAUAACUUUCCUCACUUUCUUGGCUGCUCAGCGCUGUCCUUUGUCCGCCAGAACAGAACAAAUUGUAAAGAAAUGUCCAGAAAAUGAAGAAGCUACAAAUACUAGUGCAGAGAUAAAAAAAAUGUGAAAGGCUUGCAGAACAGCAGACUUGUACAAGUCCAUCAAAGUUCAAGUAUCAUUGCCUUCCUACUGAUCUGUCAGGAACACUAGUUGAAGUAUGUGCCGUUGAAAUAUACAUCCAUGGUGUAUGUGUGCUGUAUAACGACACAGAACUUCAAACAUAUGAUAACAUUAAUUGUAGUCAGGCUUCUACGUGUCCCGACAGAUUUUUGUCCUCAGAAGCA